rnacentral:lncRNA from 1 species
AUGCUUCCUGCCGGGGCCCCAGGCCCCGCGGCGAACCCCGGGCGCCGACUCCUGUCGGGUCCCCGGAGCCCGCGGCGGACCCCAGGCAGCGACCUCCGGUGGGCCCCCGGGCCCUGCGGCGGACACGUGGCCGAAUACCACCGGGCUGCCAGAGCCUGUGGCGGACCCUGGGCACUGAAUCCCAACAGGCACCCGAAGCCCUCCACAGACCCAGGCGCUGACUCCCGCCGAACCCCCAGGACCUGCGGCGGACCCCGUGCGGCUCCCUGGGGGUCGCAAGGCGGGGUCCAGCGGGGUGCCAUUGGGACCUGCUGGGGGUUGCCAGGUGGGGUCUGCCGCAGCACCCCUGGGGCCCACCGGGGGUCACCGAGUGGGGUUUGCCGCGGUGCCAGGGGGCCCACAGGAGGUUGCCGGGCAGGGUCCACUGGGGCUCCCAAGGGCCCACUGGGGGUCACCUGGGCGGGGUCUGCUGGGGCACCCGGGGGCCUGCCAGGGGUCACCGUGCGGGGUCUACCAGGGCUCCCAAGGGUCCGCCCCGGGAUUCGGCGACGCGUCCGGGCCCGGCGGCUCUAACACCCGCCGCACGCUCGCGCGGCCGCGGGCCACCUGCCCGCCGGAGGCCUUCCCAGCCGACCCGGAGCCGGUCGCGGCGCACCGCCGCGGAGGAAAUGCGCCCGACGGGGGCCGGGGCGCGGCCGGGCGGCGGUCCCCGGCGCGACCGCCCCCCCCGGCCGCCCGCCCCCCCGC